rnacentral:rRNA from 1 species
GAGGAAUAUUGGGCAAUGCCCGCAAGGGUGACCCAGCAACGCCGCGUGGAGGAUGAAUGUCGUAAGAUUGUAAACUCCUGUUAGAGGGGAAGAAUAGUACCGGUUGGACCGGUAUAUGACUGUACCCUCAGAGAAAGCCCCGGCUAACUACGUGCCAGCAGCCGCGGUAAUACGUAGGGGGCAAGCGUUGUCCGGAUUUACUGGGUGUAAAGGGCGCGCAGGCGGGAUAAAAAGUCAGUGGUGAAAUCCUACAGCUUAACUGUAGAACUGCCUUUGAUACUUUUAUUCUUGAGUUCGGGAGAGAGAGACGGAAUUCCAGGUGUAGUGGUGAAAUACGUAGAUAUCUGGAAGAACACCAGUUGCGAAGGCGGUCUCUUGGUCCGACACUGACGCUGAGGCGCGAA